CAAGAGAAGGGGGACACACCACAUCACGUAGGGCCAUAUGGAGAGGCACCAGAGUUGCUCAGGAGGCAAAAGGAGUGAAGAAGAAGCAUGGAUGAAGGCCUUUAUUAAUAUAACAGUGGGCAGCUGGCAGAUGGGCAUAUCCCUUAUUGGGCAAGAAGUGAAGCAGAGUUGGGGUUUGUGGUUGGAUGAUUUGUAGCAUGAAUCCCAUGUGCUAGCAGAAACCCAGGGCCAGUACUGUUGUCGACAAUUUUGGCUGCUAAGUUGGCCCCUGACUUCACAAUGCCAAGUCAUCAAUUACAGGAUAUCUAGAGCAAUUAUGACAGAAGUGUGAGCCACUGCCUCACUGUGAUUGCUCUUCAUCUGGUCUUCAGUGACUCUGAUCCUUUUCACCAAAGUUUGGAUCUCUUGCUAUCUUCUAGACAUGACCCCACUGGACCGUGGGUUUUAUUUAGAUCUCCUGUUCUUUGGCCCAUUUUGGUUUCUCUCUCUCUCCUACUCUGACUCUGCUUCCGUUAUACCUAGAGAUUUUCUCCAUUUUUCCCCCUUUCUCAUACAUAGGAGAGCUGCUUCUUUCCACAGACAAGCAUAGAAACUUGGCAAAUAGAGGGAAGCUCAGUCUGCGUUGCCAUGUCAACCGAAAGCAGAGCUGACUUUUCAGCAUCACACACUAAUCGUUCCGGUUUAUGGACUGGCAGGGCCCUAGAAGACCAUUUUCACCCACUGGAAAGUCUCCUUGGGUAUGGUACUCAUCACAAUCAACAGCCGGCAGGGCUGGUACGCGGAGCAAACUCCAUUCUGCUCAGAAUGAAAGAAUCCAGCACCCUGAAACAGAACAUCCUUUUCAGAGCCAGAUGCUCAAACAUAAAGGCAAAGAACAAAGGCUGUGAAGGAGGAGGAGUGCUUGCUUGCUAGGAUCUCUAAAUAAAACCAGGCCUGAAGAGAAAAGGGCUUGUGAU
rnacentral:lncRNA from 1 species